AAGAUGGUUCAAGGAGGAUUAGGAGGAGGAAUUCUCGUUGAGAAUUAUAGGGACGAGAAGGACCUGCCAUAGACGAACAUUCAUUCGGAUGGGAUAUGAGGACGACCGGUUGAUUAAAAAUUAGAUAUUGGGUUCACAUGUAGGGGGAUAUCCCUAUGGACCCCAAGAAGUAGUGGUAAGUAGGUAAGGAGGUAAGUUUCUUGCUAUUGUUCUUAAGUGUGAAAUAAAAAUGCUAUUUGGAUUAUUAUCUUCAUAGGUCAAUUUUGGAAACACAUAAGGGUAAGUAUGAAAUAAUAGUUUUUAA
rnacentral:lncRNA from 1 species